UGUUGAUGGAAGCCACAAUGACACAAAUCUUCGAAUUUUCCAAACAAAAGGCCUUCCGAAGAUAUCUCCAACGGAAAAGAAGUUUUCAAACGGCGCAAGCUCCACAACCACCAUCCGCAACAAUGAAUCAGUGAUCUCACUCGGAACAUCCGCUUCACUCGGAGAACGGCUAAGCUCGUCGAAUUUGCCGCAGGAAUACGCGGAGACACCACAGAAAAAAACUUCAAUCUUCCGAAGAAUCGCGAAAAUCAUGAGCUCCGACGACGUGAUCUAUUCAAUGACCGCCACAAACAGUAGAUCUCCGAUUCUUGAAGAAGGCGUCGGGAGAGAAGAUAGUGGGCUGAUUGAAUUUCGCUCAGAAUCACCAUCUUGUUCUUCAAAUCAGUUCAGUUUUCUGAGAAGGCUCAAAAGCACCAUUACCCAUGCAGAUAGCUCGGAUCGCAUGCGGCAUCAGGCUCACUUAUCAACAGAAGAGCUGCGGCCAUUUGUCUUCCGAGACGCUGAAGAUCAAGUAAUUCUGGGGCAGAUUCGCCGAAAGCGGAAUCCUUCGCCGUUUUUCACGCUGUUCGACAAGUCGCCCGCCUCGAUUUCCAGGAAAGAGCGGAGGGAAAGCUUCCGAAACGGCGAAACCUCGGAGGAAAUGUUUGCGGAAACCAUCGAAGUUCCACAAGCCGUAAAUCGAGAUUCAAGCUAUGAACGUGGAACUUCAAUCGAUGAAAAAUGCGAUUUAGACGCCAGCCGAUCAGAUGAACCAUCAUCAGAAGUCAUCGAUGAGUACGAUCCGAUCGCAUUUUCCGAGUUGGGAAUCGGAAAACGGACUGUAAUCCGUCACGAGUGUUGCGUGGCAAGCACACUUCAUUGUGAAUCGGCGGAGAGGGCGAAACAAGUGAUAAAUGAGGAUUUCGAGGCGAAAUACCCAAUGAUUCAUCUGACAUUGAGCAAAAUGAAGAGUUUGAAGCGAGAAAUGGCAGAACUUGGGGUCUCGAAUGGAAUUGAUGUGUAUACGGUGGCAACUGCUUAUGUGUACUUUGAGAAAAUUAUUCUUAAGGGUCUAAUCUCAAAAGUCAAUCGAAAAUGUGUCGCCGGAGCCGCUCUCCUCGUCGCCCUUAAAAUGAAUGAUUACAAGAAGUCUACGAUCAAAUCGUACAUCGAACAGGCCGAAGAUCAGCUCCGCGAGCCGAAAUCCGAUCUUUUGGCUUAUGAGCUUCCAAUUUGCUCGGUGCUCCAGUUCAGGCUUCAGCCAACAAUUGAUGAGAUUCAACCACAUGUAGAUAGAUUGCAAUUUGAGAUGUGA
rnacentral:misc_RNA from 1 species